UAACCUCAAGCUCUGCUUGGUGUUGGGCCCUGCCCGCCCGUGGCCGGCCCCAAGGACAGUGGCGGCGCCGUCGAGCCCUACGCGCAGUACAUCUCUCGCUCUAGGGCCUUGCGGCGGCCGGCCAGAACCCCAACUCUGCG
rnacentral:misc_RNA from 1 species